GACGAACGCUGGCGGCGUGCCUAAUACAUGCAAGUAGAACGCUGAAGCGAGGAGCUUCCUCUUCUUGGAUGAGUUGCGAACGGGUGAGUAACGCGUAGGUAACCUGCCUUGUAGCGGGGGAUAACUAUUGGAAACGAUAGCUAAUACCGCAUAACAAUGGAUGACACAUGUCCUUUAUUUGAAAGGGGCAAUUGCUCCACUACAAGAUGGACCUGCGUUGUAUUAGCUAGUAGGUGAGGUAAUGGCUCACCUAGGCGACGAUACAUAGCCGACCUGAGAGGGUGAUCGGCCACACUGGGACUGAGACACGGCCCAGACUCCUACGGGAGGCAGCAGUAGGGAAUCUUCGGCAAUGGGGGCAACCCUGACCGAGCAACGCCGCGUGAGUGAAGAAGGUUGUCGGAUCGUAAAGCUCUGUUGUAAGUCAAGAACGGGUGUGAGAGUGGAAAGUUCACACUGUGACGGUAGCUUACCAGAAAGGGACGGCUAACUACGUG
rnacentral:rRNA from 1 species